rnacentral:rRNA from 1 species
CAGCAGCCGCGGGAAAACGUAGGGUGCAAGCGUUAAUCGGAAUUACUGGGCGUAAGGCGUGCGCAGGCGGUUCGCUAAGACAGAUGUGAAAUCCCCGGGCUUAACCUGGGAACUGCACCUGUGACUGGCGGGCUAGAGUAUGGCAGAGGGGGGUAGAAUUCCACGUGUAGCAGUGAAAUGCGUAGAGAUGUGGAGGAAUACCGAUGGCGAAGGCAGCCCCCUGGGCCAAUACUGACGCUCAUGCACGAAAGCGUGGGGAGCAAACAGGAUUAGAUACCCCGGUAGUCCCUGUCUCUUAUAC